rnacentral:tRNA from 1 species
UUAAUAUUGUGAUUAAAAAAGUUUUUGGCUAAAUUAUUUUUUACAUUAUUUUUU